rnacentral:rRNA from 1 species
UGUAAGGGCUUUUGCCUGCUAUCUCUUACCCAUGUCUUUUGAGUACCUUACGUUUCCUCGGUGGGUUCGCCCACCGAUUGGACAAAUUUAAACCCUUUGCAGUUGAAAUCAGCGUCUGAAAAAACUUAAUAGUUACAACUUUCAACAACGGAUCUCUUGGUUCUGGCAUCGAUGAAGAACGCAGCGAAAUGCGAUAAGUAGUGUGAAUUGCAGAAUUCAGUGAAUCAUCGAAUCUUUGAACGCACAUUGCGCCCCUUGGUAUUCCAUGGGGCAUGCCUGUUCGAGCGUCAUUUGUACCUUCAAGCUCUGCUUGGUGUUGGGUGUUUGUCUCCUGUAGACUCGCCUUAAAACAAUUGGCAGCCGGCGUAUUGAUUUCGGAGCGCAGUACAUCUCGCGCUUUGCACUCAUAACGACGACAUCCAAAAGUACAUUUUUACACUCUUGACCUCGGAUCAGGUAGGGAUACCCGCUGAACUUAAGCAUAUCAAUAAGCGGAGGAAGGAU